CAACGAUGAAGAGUUUGAUCCUGGCUCAGGAUGAACGCUAGCGGCAGGCCUAACACAUGCAAGUCGAACGGUAACAUUGGU
rnacentral:rRNA from 1 species